AUUUUUAUUUAUAUAAAUUUAUUUAUUUUUUUAUUUUAUUAAAAGUAAUUUUAUUGUUAUAGUAGAUUUUAUAGAAAAAAUUUUUUAAAAAACACUGAAAAGGUAAAAUUAAAUUUAAUUAAUUAAGUAAAAUAUUAUUUUGUACCUUUUGUAUCAGGGUAAAUUAAUUAUUUAUAUAUAUUUAUAUAUCCCGAAUUAUAAUGAUUUAUAAUAAAUUGUAGUUUAUUGUUGUAUAAAUAUUUAAAAAUUUAUUUUAGUAAUGAAAUUUUAUCGAAUUAUAUGAUAUCUGGUUUUUUUAAAAAAUGAAUUUAAUUCAGGAAAAUUAAAUGAUUUUUAUUUUAAUUAACUUUCAUUAUUUUAUCUUAUUAUAUUAGGGAUUAGCCAAAUAUAAUAACUAUAUAUAUAUAUAUAUAUAAUAGAUUAUAUAAGCUUAAAAACAGCUAAUUUAGAAUUAGUUAAAUUUCAGUCUUUUUAUUAUUUUAUAUAAUAUUUAUUAGAUUUAUAUUAAAAAAUUUUCAUUUAAUUUUUUUUAAUAAUUAGUAUGAUUUAAUUAGUAUAAUUAAUAAAAUUUUAUUUAUGAAUUAAGCAAAAAAAAUUAAUUUUCACCUGUUUAUCAAAAACAUGUCUUUUAGAAAAAAAUUAAAAGUCUAAUCUGCCCAGUGAUUAAUAAAUGGCCGCAGUAAUCUGACUGUGCAAAGGUAGCAUAAUAAUUAGUCUUUUAAUUGAAGGCUUGUAUGAAUGAUUGGAUGAAAAAUUUUCUUUAUUAAUAUAAUAAUUAUAACUUAAUUUUUAAGUUAAAAAGCUUAAAUAAUUAAGUUGGACGAGAAGACCCUAUAGAGUUUCAAAUUAUUUUUAUAUAUUUUAUAUUAGAAUUAAUAAUAUAAAUAUAUAAAAAUAUUUUUUUGUUGGGGUGAUAUUAUAAAUAAAAUAACUUUUAAUAUAAAAAACAUUUAUUUAUGUAAAUAAAAUUAUUUUGAUCCAAUAUUAAAUAUUGAUUAUAAGAAUAAAUUACCUUAGGGAUAACAGCGUAAUUAUUUUUUAGAGUUCAUAUUAAUAAAAUAGUUUGCGACCUCGAUGUUGGAUUAAGAAAAUAUUUUGGAGCAAAAUCUAAUUUUUUAGGUCUGUUCGACCUUUUAAUUCUUACAUGAUCUGAGUUCAAACCGGCGUGAGCCAGGUUGGUUUCUAUCCACUUAUUUUUUUAUUGAUAUUAGUACGAAAGGACCAUAUUAAUUAAUAUUAAUUAU
rnacentral:rRNA from 1 species